rnacentral:rRNA from 1 species
GAUGAACGCUGGCGGCGUGCCUAAUACAUGCAAGUCCAACGCGAGCCUUCGGGCUCGAGUGGCGAGCGGGUGAGUAAUACGUAAGCAACCUGGCCUUUACAGGGGGAUAACUGAUGGAAACGUCAGCUAAGACCGCAUAGGUACAGAGAUCGCAUGAUAACUGUAUUAAAAGUGCUACGGGACUGGUAGAGGAUGGGCUUACGGCGCAUUAGCUGGUUGGAGGGGUAACGGCCCACCAAGGCGACCACGCGUAUCCGACCUGAGAGGGUGACCGGCCACUCUGGCACUGAGACACAGCCCACACUCCUACGGGAGGCAGCAGCAGAGGACUUUUCGGCAAUGGGGAGAACCCUGACCGAGCAACGCCGCGUGAAAGAAGAAAGAAUUCGUUCUGAAAACUUUUGUUAUAAGGAAAGAACGGCACAUAUAGGGAAUGAUAUGUGAGUGACGGUACUUUAUGAGGAAGCCCCGGCUAACUACGUGCCAGCAGCCGCGGUAAUACGUAGGUGGCGAGCGUUAUCCGGAAUUAUUGGGCGUAAAGAGGGAGCAGGCGGCAGCAAGGGUCUGUGGUGAAAGGCUGAAGCUUAACUUCAGUGUGCCAGAGAAACCGGGCAGCUAGAGUGCAGGAGAGGAUCGUGGAAUUCCAUGUGUAGCGGUGAAAUGCGUAGAUAUAUGGAGGAACACCAGUGGCGAAGGCGACGAUCUGGACUGCAACUGACGCUCAGUCCCGAAAGCGUGGGGAGCAAAUAGGAUUAGAUACCCUAGUAGUCCACGCCGUAAACGAUGAGUACUAAGUGUGGCGAGUCAGAUCCCAGUGCUGCAGUUCACGCAGUAAGUACUCCGCCUGAGUAGUACGCUCGCAAGAAUGAAACUCAAAGGAAUUGACGCGGGCCCGCACAAGCGUUGGAGCAUGUGGUUUAAUUCGAAGCAACGCGAAGAACCUUACCAGGUCUUGACAUCCGGAUAAAGGCUCCAGAGAUGGAGAGAUAGAUAUAUCCGAGACAGGUGGCGCAUGGUUGUCGUCAGCUCGUGUCGCGAGAUGUUGGGUUAAGUCCCGCAACGAGCGCAACCCCUCUUGCUAUUUUCCAUCACUAAGUUGGGGAUUCUAGCGAGACUGCCGGUGACAAGCCGGAGGAAGGCGGGGAUGACGUCAAAUCAUCACGCCCCCUAUGACCUGGGCUACACACGUGCUACAAUGGACGGAUCAGAGGGAAGCGAAGCCGUGAGGCGGAGCGAAACCCAGAAACCCGUUCUCAGUUCGGAUUGCACUCUGCAACUAGAGUGCACGAAGAUGGAAUCGUUAGUAAUCGCGAAUCAGAAUGUUGCGGUGAAUACGUUCUCGGUCCUUG